rnacentral:lncRNA from 1 species
GUGGGAUAUAGUCUCGUGGUGGGCCGUUUUUUAAGGCCGUCGGAAAAGCGCAGUAUUCAGGUGGGAGUGACCCGAUUUUCCAGGUGCCGUCUGUUACUCCUUUCUUUGACUAGGAAAGGGAACUCCCUGACCCCUUGCGCUUCCCGAGUGAGGCAAUGCCUCGCCCUGCUUUGGCUCGCGCACAGUGCGCGUGCACCCACUGACCUGUGUCCACUGUCUGGCACUCCCUAGUGAGAUGAACCCGGUACCUCAGAUGGAAAUGCAGAAAUCACCCGUCUUCUGCAUCGCUCACGCUGGGAGCUGUAGACUGGAGCUGUUCCUAUUCGGCCAUCUUGGCUCCUCCCAGAGGAAAGUACUUUCAAGCUUGCCUGAGGUCUGAGAAGCUGAGCUUUCUGCAGUGGUCUCAGUGGAACCUUUGACCAGAGCAUUCGAAGGGUGCCUUUCCUGUUUCCUUUCUCGGCAUUGAAACAUCAAGAUACGGAAUCCAGAAGGGUCACCAGAACCUGGCCCUCUGCAAUCUGGACUCGAGGCUGCAGACUUGCUGUUGAACUGGGCUGGGCAGGAGGGCAGAGUGGGCACCAGGGCCCACCUUCCUGGGGCCCUGAAAGGGUGGGAUGGUGUGUACUGGUCCCCUCACCCAAAUGCAGGUGUGGGAGGAGGACAUCCAUCAUGAUGCUACAUGGCAUUUGCUUCACCACCAGGAGAGAGGUCUUGGCAAACCUCAGCAUCACAGAAGAAAAUCAUAAAGAGCUGCUGGUGGUGGUAGGGAACACUCACCUGGACAGGGGACUGUGAGAGUCAGCAAGUGCCCAUCCCUGCAUUGGGCCAAUGCCCUACAGUUCGGUUGGACACCCAGAACCCCAAGCACCCUCAGGUGCUGCUGCUGGAACAGCCAUCUCAUGCAGGAGCUCAGGUCACGUUUAAGGUCUUGGGCCAAGGUCUAUCAUCUUAAAGAGCUACGGUUUUUGGACAUUUUUCUGGCAACAAAGAAACCUCUUAAAUUUGGAACAAAGAGGAGGAAAAAACCUGCCUCUGGAAGAGAAAAUACUUCUAAUUAGAUUGAGAUACAAAGGUUAAAUUUUUGUUCUGGGAAAAAGACUGUUUAUAAUCCUGUGUCAUUAGCAGGACAUUUUCCAGAGACCAGUGUGCCAGAAAUAGACCCUCUGAGGGGUCACUGGAAGGAAGGGGUGCAGAUUUCUG